rnacentral:rRNA from 1 species
GACGAACGCUGGCGGCGUGCUUAACACAUGCAAGUCGAACGAAGUGGCGAACGGGUGAGUAACGCGUAAUCAACCGGCCCUUCAGAGGGGGACAACAGUUGGAAACGACUGCUAAUACCGCAUACUGAAGGAGGGGAUGGCGUUUGAUUAGCUAGUUGGAGGGGUAAAGGCCCACCAAGGCGAUGUUCAGUAGCCGGUCUGAGGGGAUGAACGGCCAAAUUUGAACUGAGACACGGCCCAGAAUCCUACGGGAGGCAGCAGUGGGGAAUCGUCCGCAAUUGACGAAAGUCUGACGGAGCAACGCCGCGUGAGUGAUGACGGCCUUCGGGUUGUAAAGCUCUGUUAAUCGGGACGCGGUACCGGAAUAGAAAGCCACGGCUAACUACGUGCCAGCAGCCGCGGUAAUAC